rnacentral:rRNA from 1 species
AGAGUUUGAUCCUGGCUCAGGAUGAACGCUAGCUACAGGCUUAACACAUGCAAGUCGAGGGGCAGCAUGUUGGUUGCUUGCAACCAACGAUGGCGACCGGCGCACGGGUGAGUAACGCGUAUCCAACCUACCCUUGUCCAUCGGAUAACCCGUCGAAAGGCGGCCUAACACGAUAUGCGGUUCACAGCAGGCAUCUAACGUGAACGAAAUGUAAAGGAGAAGGAUAGGGAUGCGUCUGAUUAGCUUGUUGGCGGGGUAACGGCCCACCAAGGCGACGAUCAGUAGGGGUUCUGAGAGGAAGGUCCCCACAUUGGAACUGAGACACGGUCCAAAAUCCUACGGGAGGCA